GUUACCGUUACCAAUUACCAUUAUAAAGUACCGGUAAAUAGCGUUAAUUUUAACAGAUACCUGUUUUACCGUUAAAACUUUUAACGGUAAUUCGGUAACGAAAACGUUUUUUAACGUUAAAUUUUACCGUUAAAUAGAAUUUUAACGAUACUGAUAACGUUACCUCUAAUAUCAAGAAUUAACGAAAUUUUUAUCGAUACUUCUACGACGUUGCCGCUCCGUGCAAGUGACCUUCAACUCGACGCGCUAGGAUUGAUAAAAGCGGCAACAGCGCGUGUCAUUGGAUUAUAACGCUGUAGGUACGAACAUCAAUGUACUUCAACCGUUUACGUACUCUUAAUUCGAACAUUAGAACUUGCAAUUGUUUUUAUUUUUAAAUUAAACUGUAUGAGACUACAUAAACUAAAA